CGCGAAGGGAAUGGAAGGGCCCCGAGCCGCCCUGUGGAAACUUCUCGGAUUUGGGGUUUUUGGGAGGUGUUUUAGGUGACGCUGCCACUGCAGGGGUGACACACCUGAGCUCAGGUAUCAGAAGGGCUGAGCAAGGCUCAAACUGUGCUGCUGAAAGUCCCGAGCACAAAAUCCUGUGGUACACCCCGACUUGGGUGUUCUCCCCAGACCCACGGGGGGAGCAGCAGGAAUGAUGCUCUGAGGGGAUUCCUGCCAGGAAAACACACCUUGAAACCACUUUGCUUUAGAGAAACAGCCACAAAAUUCAUAACGGUGCAUUGAGGGGCAACUUGUUGGUUUUGGUUAGAGAAUUAAAACACUGGUGUGGGUGGAGGAUGGAGAUUCCAGCCCUCGGGUCCCCUGCCCUGUGAGGGACCCCAGCAACGCCAUCACCUGCAAUUAGGGCUGGGCAGAUCCGUGUGGAUAAGUCGGAGCCAGGGAAUAAUCAGGGUCCACUGAGGAGAUUAGACACGGAGCACAAGCUGCCCAGCAACACACGGCCCAGCUGGCAGGCCCUCGGUGUUCUGUGGGUGGCAGCUCCAAGACGUGGAGGAGUGAAAGAAAAAGAAACAGAAGGCUUAGAAGCCAAAUAAAUAAAUUAGAGCAGGAUAAAUGGGAGGGGACUGUUCAUGCACUACAAAACCCAUUCUGGAAUGCCAAGAGCUGCCCAAGCUCAGUCCCCAGGGGCAGCACAGGAGCAAACCCGUGUCAGAUCUGUGUUUGUCACACCAGGCACAGGUCUCUGCUCCCUGUGACAGGGACAGGAGCCAGGGAAGGGCUGGAGCUGUGUCAGGCAGGGUUAGGUGGGGUAUCAGGGAAAGGUUCUUCCCCUGAGGGGUGUUGGGCACUGCCCAGGCUCCCCAGGGAAUGGGCACAGCCCCGAGGCUGCCAGAGCUCCAGGAGUGUUUGAACCCUCUCAGGCUCGGGGUGGGAUUGUUGGGGGGUCUGUGCAGGGCCAGGAGCCAGACUGAUGAUCCUUGAGGGUCCCUUCCAGUUCAGGAUAUUCCAUAAUUCUGUGGACCUCAUAGGUCCAUUGUGGGAGUGAAAACUUCUUCCUUCUCAUCCCAUUCCCUGGUGAGAAGGCAUCAGACUGAGCACCUGUCAUCUCCAGAGCACUCUGCAACCAUGAACUCCUUAAUCCUCACACCCCGGGAAGGCAGAAGGGAUCCAGCUGGAUUCAAGGGCAUCUCCCUGUUCCUCUAGAGCAGGAGCAUCCCAGCACUCAGGAUGGGGCAGGAGGAAGGUGAGGACUGUGACACAGAGACCUGAACAGCCAGCAGAGCCUUUCCCAGCCCUCAGAGCCAGCAGGACACCGCUGGUUUCGCAAGAGGAAACUCCACCUCAGGGCAGCGCCGAGGGCACCAGGAAUUUGGCCUUAGGAAGCCAGGAGUGCACGUUGCAACCACGAGACAGAGGGUGAAGGAGCAGUAGGAGCAGUGCUGGGUGAGAUUUAUGGCUCCUGGCUGUGAGCUGGGGCCUCCCCCUGGCAGCCCCGAGGUCUCUGGGCUGUCCCUUGCAGUGCAAAGUGCUGCUCCCUGCACAAUUGUGCUGAAACAAGGAGUCAGAUUCCCUUCUCCUGGUCCUUCACCCGUGUUACAUCCACUCUGCAAUGGGUGCUUGCUUCACUCCCACAAGAAAGGCAGGAAUUGUUUCUUGUCCCUGACUCUGAUGAGGUCCCUGCACAGCAGAUUUACCUGGGCAUCAGCCUGUCUGAGGGCUCCAAGGUCAGUCCCUGCCUCAGGGGUUCUGUCCCUGUUCCCCACACCUUGCCCUGUGCCUGCAGAGCUGAUGCCAACGUGGCUCAGCCACCUCUUGGCCCCAGUGUUUUGUCCAAAGGUGCUAAAUUAGGUUACUUCACCACUGCUGCCAUCCUCACUAUCAGCAAGGAAUAAAUAUUUUUAGACAUGGAAUAAAUACUGAACUGGCUUCCCUAUCUCUGCCUCAGCUCUUGUUGCCUCCUCCCAGACAGCCGGGGAGCCUGCAGCACCGUGGUGGAGCCCUCAGGAUUACAGGGUGUUCCCACCAUGGAGCUGUGCAGAUGCUGCCAGGGCCUCCUUGGUGCCUCCGACACAAAAGGCUGGGCUCAGCAGCUGCUGGAAACAUCUGGCUUUAAUUCUUCCUUAAAGCCACGACUUUCAUUUGGCCACCAAACCACUUCCCUUUCAUCUCUCCAGAGGACCAACCCUGUGGCAGGGCUGUCCUUACCCUGCAUUAUCCUGCAGGAAGAAGGUCCCAGAAAAUCCAGGGCUGUGCUCCUCACAGGGGAGAGAUCUUGGAGAGGGCAGCAGCUCCCAGCUGACAGGUUCCUGCUCUUCUCUCUCCCUAGAGUUCCUUUAAUGUCAUUUUGAGGCACGAAUUUCUCCAUCAGCAUGGUUCAAAGGGGCUCAGAGUCCAGCUUAGACCUGAUUGUCCCCUAAUUCCCUGGGCUGAGAACCCAAACUUGAAGAAUCAACAGAUGUGGCGUGUUGAGCUAAGAAGGCCAAAGCAUGUCCUUGGGCUGGAGGGAGAAGCUGUGUCUGUUUGGAAAUCCUUUAGCUGACUGUGCUGAAGGUUUGUGGCUGGGCUGGCAGGCUGGGAGGAGGGCUGGGAAAAGGCCUGGCAGGAUCAGAAACACCAGCAGUGGCAGUUCCCUCAACAACACUUGGCUGAUAAUUCUGCUAUCAAUAAAUGAUUACCCGAGCAGGGAGACGAUGUUUUGAACACUCAGGGUGUUUUUGUGCAGCAGAAGAGGCCUGGAGUGAGAACGUUGGAGGCUGGAGAGAUCAGCUGCCAUCACAUGAUCCCGUGACGCCGGUAACCACAGCAAAGUUUUAUCCAAAGCCAGGGAGGCUCUUGGCUCUGCUUCUGGGCCUGAGCUCAGCAGAGAUUGUGCCGUUGUGUUUUCACAAGCUUCCACGGGUGCUGAAGGAACUGCUUGGCUUUUCUGGGCAAAACUGAGUCCCGGUGUGGGAGCAGUGCCUUGGGCAGAGCCAUCACGGGGUCUGAUCCCAACACGCCAGGCAAACCCAAGGAGCUCCAGCUCCAGGGGCAGCCAGCCCGGAGCAAUCCAUCUCCUGUGGCAGACUCUGGCAACACCCAAAGCCUUGGCAGGGCUGGAGUGUAGAAACUCUGCUAUAAUUUCGAAUAAACCAGCUUUUCCCAUCUGCCUCCUGCACUGCUGCAGGGCCACACUCUUCAAAUGGCCGCGGGGAAAAGGUUUUACCUUUUUAUUUAAUGUGAUCAAAUAGAACAAUCCAUGCAGGGGACAGCAGGAUAACAGCAGGCUCACAUGGAUUCACAGCUGCCUGCCAGGAGCGUGGAGCUGCUGAGGAGCAGCAGCUUGGCUCUGCUACACAGAGUGAGGGGGUUUUUCUGUAGCUCAGGUGGGUCUUUUGGUACUCAGGAUUUUCCAUUCUUGCUACACUGCAUUCCAGCCAGGAAACCUCCAGGGCAUGAGGAGGUGAUCCCCAGUGGUACCUUCAGGAGAGCUCAGGUGUCCCUGUUCCACCUCCUCACUGCUCCAUCCAGGUCAGAGCCUUCCUGGCAGGGAGGAGGAGCGAGUGAAUCACCAGGAAAGGGCAGGAGCAGGAAGAGCAGCUGCCAGCAUGGUUCCUCCUGGACCUUGGACAGAUGGAGCUGGCCAGGAGUUAAAGUUUAACUCCUCCAAAGACCUCGGCUCAGCAAAAGGCCCUGGAGACACCAGGGACAUCCUGCUUGGCCAGGAGCUGCACUGGGACGGUCCCUCAGGGCUGCACUUGUGCCUCAAAGGCAGUUAAGUCAAAAGGCAAAAAAGUCCAAAGGGCCUCACAAGGUCCAAUGAGAGCCAGAAAAGAGAUGGAUAAAGACAAUGGCAAUAAUGAGUCCAUCUGGGCAGCCCUGCCCUGGGCACACCAGUUCCCACAGCAUCAAGAAGGAAAAGCUCAGGAGUGGUUUGGGAUAUGUUGCUACCCAAUGAUCUUGGCAAAGCUGCAAAGUUUCCUGCUCUCCCUUCUUUCUCCAUCUCUCAUUCCUCUUCCCAAGGGCAUUUAAAUCCGAGCAUGACAGACUUGGCUAGAAAGGAGCACGAAGAGCCCCGGGGGUAGGGCGGGACCCCAGAUGUUAAUCCCAGCUCAGGUUACUCAGCAGCAGUUUUGGAUUCCUCACUUCACCCUUGUAAAGUGGGAAUGGUGCUUCCUGAAUUCCCAACGCUGCCAGAGUCCUGUCUGAGGGCAAAUUAGGGAGAACCAAAAGCAUUGGGUGAGUGGCUGUGAGACGCUCUCUGCUGAGGACCAGGAGCUCAGAUUUUCCUGCUCCUCCAGCCAGGAUGCCAAGGACAGCCACGAGCUGCCAGGAAAGGGCUCAGCAGUUCCUCUGUCGCACAGGGGACACAUCCUGCAGGGAACCCAUCCAUCCCUCCUGUUCGUUUGUGGCCUCUGCAAUAACCUGACAUGGGGGGAAGGAAUCAGUCGUGUUCAGCAGGUGGAUCCAAUGUCUCUGCCAGUCCCCAAGGCUGAGGAAGAAAGGAUUCUGUAACCCAAGAAGGAGCAGCAGCUCUGACUGUCCAGGAAUAAAAGAGUCUCAGUGAGCAGCUCCUGGCUAGAGUUACCUGCAGGCAGAAAGGGAGAGCUCAGGGAAGAGCUCAGGCUGUCCCAUCGGAGCCACGGGUGUGCAGCCCUGCAAAGCUGUGCCACAGA